rnacentral:lncRNA from 1 species
UUAUUGUUUGCACAAUAUAUAUUUUUUUCACUUUCUACUUAAUGUACCUUUGUGUUAUGGACUGAAUUGUGCCCUUCCCUCAAAUUCAUAUGUUGAAAUUCUAAUCCUCCAAGGUGACUGUAAUUGGAGAAAGGACCUGUAAGGAGAUAAUUAAGGUCAAAUUAAUCUAUAAAGGACUGGCCAAGUAAGGACACAGCUGAGAAAGCAGCCUGCAAGCCAUUAAAGAAGACCUCACUAGAAAACAACACUGGCACCUUAAUCUUGGACUUCCAGACUCUGCAAAGCCUGUCUUCAAAUUCAAUUAUAUCACUUCAUGUAUAAUGUAAUUACCAUGGUAUGCUAUAUUUUCCUUUGCCCUUCCCAUCAUUGGUGCUGAUUUUAUUGUACAUCUUCCUUCUAUGUAUGUUACAAAUCUCAAUAUAUUGUUACUUUUUUUGUUUUU